rnacentral:lncRNA from 1 species
UCAUUCUCGUCUAUCUCAAACUAGAACCCAAACCCUAGCCGCCCUGAUUCCCCAUCUCUUCACCACAAGCCACUGCCUGCCGGAAAUUGCCCUACGGCGGUGGCCCGUCACUGUAUAACCAUAAAUUAACACCCUCAUACUCCUUAUACCAGCCUAAUCACCAUCCUACCAUUAAUCUCACAAAAAUUCCAACAGAUUCCCCUCAAUUUCAAAUCUAAAAUCCAGAAACCUAACUUUUUUCAUCUUUUCUAAUUUUUGUACUUUUUCCACUCGAUUUGGCCUAAAACUUACGUUGAUAAAUUGCUCUCUACAAGAUCAAUUGAUUGACAUUAGUUUUGAGUCACUCCAAGGUUAUCAGAUUUUGACUGACUCACCGGACUCCGGCCAGCCUUGUGGGACGUCAUUUUAGGUUUAAUUUUCUUCCUCUUAGUACUUUCCAUACCAAUUAUUGUUGUUCCAUUUUUAUUUGUUAAUUUUCUUUCAUUUUUUUCUUAAAUCUUGACAAUAGUCUGUGUUUAAUCCUUAGGUUAAUUGGUAGUGUAGUUAGUUUAAUUAUUAAUCACUUAUUUAUUAGUUAAUCUUAGGUGUUUAAGGUAAUCUAAUCAGUUUUCUUUAUUAAUACAGUAAUUCAACUAGGUUUCUUUUAGGGUAAUGGUUUGCUGCCGUAUUUAUUUGUUCUGAUGCUUGUCCUCAUUAUGUAAUUGGGAACGUUUGACUGCUAAUUAGAAGUAGGGGGUUAUUGGUGAUAAAUAAAACUUUAAGGGGUUCAAUUGGAAAUUAAAAAAUGAAGAAGCUUCUACACUUGCACAGUUGUCCCUGAAAUUUAGGGAAGGCACAUGGGAGAGAGGCUGAGUUUUUCCCUUAUAAAAAAAGCAUUCCCAUCUCACAGAAGGGACACGGAAUUUUGGCACAAAAAACCUUCAAUAGAGAGACUGACCUUCUUGAUUAUAUUUUUCUGAUUUUCUCCUCCUUAAGCAAAAACCAAGGAAAUAGAAAAACAACAAAGAGAUGUCUAAGAUGAUUGUUCUUUACUUAAUCUGAUGGUCUAUCUCUAUUUCUGCUGGGUUUACUGAUUUGAGCUGAGAGUCAUAGCAUUUUGGUUUCUUGUUGUUUCUUGUUGUUGUUUACUGUUCUCUGUUGUACUCGUGGAUCUCAAAGAUACCUUUUCUUAUUCUGUUCACCUAUUGUAUUCAGGUACUUCUUUUGAACCAUGAAUGGCAAAUGGAAUGUGAACAUGCUUGUGCGGAAGAUGUACUCAUGCUGAAAUUAAUGGAGUUAUUCAUGUUGAACUUCAACCUUCAUGUUCUUUUAAGCUAUUCAGCUUUUUUCUCUGACUUUUUCCCUUUUUAGCUCUCAGCUAAAAAUGAUAAUUUUGUUGUUGUAGUCAAUGGUUAGUUGGUUGUUCAAUAUCAAAUGCUUAGUAGUUCAUUUUUAUGUGCUGGAUUUGCUUGAGAAUUUAGUUCGUUGAAGACAAGUGUAUAAACAGCACGUCCUUGUGAGCUUGUCAUGCAUUUAAUUAGUUUCACUUGAUAAGCUUAAGAUCUAGGUGUCACCUAACUGAUCCCACAUGCUAAUUGAGUCUUUGUUGCAUUGAUUUGGUAAAGUAAGUGAUGUAUAGUAAAUGUUUGCAUUGAGCUAUGCGAUGCCUGUUUAGAGUUGGAAUUUUACAAGCUAAAGACUAAACCAGGUGGUGAUACCAUUUGUCAUAAUUACUUUUAAAUCAAUUAGUGCAUUGUUAGUUUUGUUGUAUUCAGAACUCAUAUUCAUUGCUUUGAGUUAAUGUCAUUUAAUGUGUUUGUAUUGCUAGUGAGCUUGUGGGGUUUUAAUUUUAAUUUCACUGAUGGUGUGUGAUCUGGUUUCAACCUUCCCUUUUUUAACUUGUGCAACACUAAUUUUUGAAUGAUAUACUUUAGUUGACUUUUUGUGUCAGUUUAGUUUAUGUUGAAAUAUGCAUGAUGGAUUGUGUUUCUCUAGCAAUACAGAUUAGGCAAAUUCUUCAACAGUGGGCCCAAUUGAUAAGAGCUAAAGGUAACCUAAUCCUAGUAAGCGCAUUUAGCUGGCCCAUUUACACUCACCUCCACAAAUAAAUUCCAUAAUCUAUGGCCCUCACAAUAAAAUCUCAAACUAGUUUUACAACCAACCAUGAACAUUCGUAGUUUGC